ACCGUGCUGCAGGCUUAACACAUGCAAGUCGAACGAUAUAGUGGCAGACGGGUGAGUAACGCGUGGAAACGUGCCUUUCACUACGGAAUAGCUUUUGGAAACGAAAGGUAAUACCGUAUACGCCCUUCGGGGGAAAGAUUUAUCGGUGAAAGAUCGGUCCGCGUUAGAUUAGCUAGUUGGUGAGGUAACGGCUCACCAAGGCUACGAUCUAUAGCUGGUCUGAGAGGAUGAUCAGCCACACUGGGACUGAGACACGGCCCAGACUCCUACGGGAGGCAGCAGUGGGGAAUAUUGCACAAUGGGCGCAAGCCUGAUGCAGCCAUGCCGCGUGAAUGAUGAAGGCCUUAGGGUUGUAAAAUUCUUUCGCCAAGGAUGAUAAUGACAGUACUUGGUAAAGAAGCCCCGGCUAACUUCGUGCCAGCAGCCGCGGUAAUACGAAGGGGGCUAGCGUUGUUCGGAAUUACUGGGCGUAAAGCGCACGUAGGCGGACUUUUAAGUCGGAUGUGAAAUCCCGAGGCUCAACCUCGGAACUGCAUUUGAAACUGGGAGUCUAGAGAUCAGGAGAGGUUAGUGGAAUACCGAGUGUAGAGGUGAAAUUCGUAGAUAUUCGGUGGAACACCAGUGGCGAAGGCGACUAACUGGACUGAUACUGACGCUGAGGUGCGAAAGUGUGGGGAGCAAACAGGAUUAGAUACCCUGGUAGUCCACACCGUAAACGAUGAGUGCUAGUUGUCUGCAGGCAUGCCUGUAGGUGACGCAGCUAACGCAUUAAGCACUCCGCCUGGGGAGUACGGCCGCAAGGUUAAAACUCAAAGGAAUUGACGG
rnacentral:rRNA from 1 species